UACGUAGGUGGCAAGCGUUGUCCGGAUUUACUGGGCGUAAAGAGCGCGCAGGCGGUCGUUCAAGUCGCGUGUGAAAGCCCCCGGCUCAACUGGGGAGGGUCACGCGAUACUGAUCGACUCGAAGGCAGGAGAGGGUAGUGGAAUUCCCGGUGUAGUGGUGAAAUGCGUAGAUAUCAGGAAGAACACCCGUGGCGAAGGCGGCUCUCUGGUACGUGACUGACGCUGAGACGCGAAAGCGUGGGGAGCAAACAGG
rnacentral:rRNA from 1 species